GGCCGCCUGGCGAAAUGGCAUCGCGUCUGACUACGACCAUAAUUCGCAAUCAGGAGAUUGCAGGUUCGACCCCUGCGGUGGUCA
rfam:Phlebiopsis gigantea 11061_1 CR5-6 unplaced genomic scaffold PHLGIscaffold_14, whole genome shotgun sequence.